GAUGAACGCUGGCGGCGUGCCUAACACAUGCAAGUCGAGCGAACGGACGAGAAGCUUGCUUCUCUGAUGUUAGCGGCGGACGGGUGAGUAACGCGUGGAUAACCUACUUAUAUUUCUGGGAUAAUUUCGGGAAACCGGAUCUACUACUGGAUAAUAUUUUGUACCGCAUGGUUCAAAGGUGAAAGACGGCUUUGCCGUCUCUUAUAGAUGGUUCCGCGCUGCAUUAUUGAGUUGGUAAGGUAACGGCUUACCAAGGGAACGAUGCAUAGCCGACCUGAAGGGGGGAUCGGCCACCCUGAACCUGAGACACGGUCCAGACUCUUAGGGAAGGCAGCAGCAGGGAAUCUUGCGAAAGGGGCGAAAGCCUGACGAAGCAACGCAGGGUGAGUGAGGAAGGUCUUCGGUUGGUAAAACUCUGUUAUUGGGGAAGAACAUAUGUGUAAGUAACGGUGCACAUCUGGAGGGUACCAAAGAAGAAGGCCCCGCCAAACUAGUU
rnacentral:rRNA from 1 species